CUACGGGUGGCUCCAGUCACGAAUCUUCCACAAUGCCCGAAAGGGUGAUGGAGCGACGCCGCGUGAUUGAUGAAGCUCUUCGGAGUGUAAAGAUCUUUUCUCUGGGACGAACGUCGACGGUACCAGAGGAAUAAGGGGCUGCUAAUCUCGUGCCAGCAGCAGCGGUAAUACGAGAGCCCCGAGCGUUAUCCGGAUUUAUUGGGCGUAAAGCGUCCGCAGGUGUCUUGAUAAGUUUUUCGUCAAAUUUUGGUGCUUAACAUCAAAACUGCGAAAAAAACUAUCGGGAUAGAGGAUGGGAGAGGCAAGUGGAAUGGCUGGUGUAGGGGCUAAUCCGUUAAUAUCAGCUAGAACACCAAAAGCGAAGGCAACUUGCUGGAACAUACCUGACACUCAUGGACGAAAGCGUGGGGAGCGAACGGGAUUAGAUACCCUGGUAGUC
rnacentral:rRNA from 1 species